UACGUAGGGGGCUAGCGUUGUCCGGAUUUAUUGGGCGUAAAGAGCGUGUAGGCGGCCAGGUAGGUCAGCUGUGAAAACUGGAGGCUCAACCUUCAGACGUCGGCUGAAACCAUCUGGCUAGAGUCCGGGAGAGGAGAGUGGAAUUCCUGGUGUAGCGGUGAAAUGCGCAGAUAUCAGGAGGAACACCGGUGGCGAAGGCGGGUCUCUGGGCAACAACUGACGCUGAGGAGCGAAAGCGUGGGGAGCGAACAGG
rnacentral:rRNA from 1 species